AGGUAAAGCAAGAAAGGGCGUAUGGGGAAUGCCUAGGCACACUCCGGCGAAGAAGGACGCAGCAAACAGCGAAAUGCGACGGUGAGCGGUAAGCACGUGAAGAGCCGUCGAUAUCCGAAUGGGGGAACCCACACGGAGUCAUAUCCGUGUAUCACAUGUCGAAUACAUAGACAUGAUGAGGCGAGACGCAGGGAACUGAAACAUCUAAGUACCUGCAGGAAGAGAAAAUAAGAAUGAUUUUCUGAGUAGCGGCGAGCGAAAGGGAAAGAGCCCAAACCGAUCUGAGGAUCGGGGUAGUAGGAUCAUCGANNNNNNNNNNNNNNNNNNNNNNNNNNNNNNNNNNNNNNNNNNNNNNNNNNNNNNNNNNNNNNNNNNNNNNNNNNNNNNNNNNNNNNNNNNNNNNNNNNNNNNNNNNNNNNNNNNNNNNNNNNNNNNNNNNNNNNNNNNNNNNNNNNACAGAGGAUCAUAGAGGAAUCACAUGGGAAGGUGAGCGAGAGAGGGUGAGAGCCCCGUACUCGAAAUGAGAGACUGGAGAGAGAUGACACCUGAGUAGGGCGGGACACGAGAAAUCCUGUCUGAAUCAGCCGGGACCAUCCGGCAAGGCUAAAUACGAGAGAGUGACCGAUAGUGAACCAGUACCGUGAGGGAAAGGUGAAAAGAACCCCGGGAGGGGAGUGAAAGAGAACCUGAAACCAUAUGCCUACAAGAAGUCAGAGCCCGUUAAAGGGUGAUGGCGUGCCUUUUGUAGAAUGAACCGGCGAGUUACUGUAUGGAGCGAGGUUAAGCAGGAUAUGCGGAGCCGAAGCGAAAGCGAGUCUUAAGAGGGCGCGAGUUGCAUGCAGUAGACCCGAAACCGGGUGAUCUAGCCAUGACCAGGUUGAAGUUGGGGUAAAACCCGAUGGAGGACCGAACCGACCCCCGUUGAAACGUUGGCGGAUGAGUUGUGGCUAGGGGUGAAAUUCCAAUCGAACCCGGAGAUAGCUGGUUCUCCCCGAAAUAGCUUUAGGGCUAGCGUCGAGAGAAGAGUUGCGUGAAGGUAGAGCACUGAAUAUGUGAUGGCCCCAUCUCGGGGUACUGAGCAUAAUCAAACUGCGAAUGUCACGCCAACAUGCUCGGCAGUCAGACAGCGGGUGAUAAGGUCCGUUGUCAAGAGGGAAACAGCCCAGACCAUCAGCUAAGGUCCCAAAAUGUAUGCUAAGUGGAAAAGGAUGUGGAGAUGUACAGACAACUAGGAGGUUGGCUCAGAAGCAGCCAUCCUUUAAAGAGUGCGUAACAGCUCACUAGUCGAAUGACUCUGCGCCGAUAAUUUACCGGGGCUAAGCAUACUACCGAAGCUAUGGAUCCCAAGGGAUGGUAGGGGAGCGUUCCAUGAACGGAGAAGUACGACCGAAAGGACGUGUGGAGAUCAUGGAAGAGAGAAUGCCGGUGUGAGUAGCGGAACGUGGGUGAGAAUCCCACGCACCGAAAACCCAAGGUUUCCAGAGGAAGGUUCGUCCGCUCUGGGUAAGUCGGGACCUAAGGCGAGGCCGAAAGGCGUAGUCGAUGGACAACAGGUAGAGAUUCCUGUACCCGUAUAUAUGUGAAGGAAUGACGGAGAGAGGAAGCUGCAGCCAGCGGCUGGAAGAGCUGGUGCAAGCGAGAUAUCGGGAUGGCAGGCAAAUCCACCAUCCGAAACGAGAAGGCGUGAAGCGUACGGAAAGCUACGGCGAGUACGGAAGGCAGUGGAGGAACUUCCAAGAAAAGUUUCUAACGUUAAGUAUAUAUGGCCCGUACCGAAAAUGGACACACAUGGGUGAGGAGAGAAUCCUAAGGUGAGCGAGAGAACUAUAGCUAAGGAACUCUGCAAAAUGACUCCGUAACUUAGGGAGAAGGAGUGCUCAUAGAGAUAUGAGCCGCAGUGAAACGGCCCAAGCGACUGUUUACCAAAAACACAGCUCUCUGCUAAGCCGCAAGGCGAAGUAUAGGGGGUGACGCCUGCCCGGUGCUGGAAGGUUAAGGGGAGGGGUUAACGCAAGUGAAGCCCUGAACUGAAGCCCCAGUAAACGGCGGCCGUAACUAUAACGGUCCUAAGGUAGCGAAAUUCCUUGUCAGGUAAGUUCUGACCCGCACGAAAGGCGUAACGAUUUGGGCGCUGUCUCAGCUGUAGACUCGGUGAAGUCUUAGUACCUGUGAAGAUGCAGGUUACCCGCGACUAGACGGAAAGACCCCAUGGAGCUUCACUGCAGGUUGAUAUUGGGAUUUGAUGCAGCAUGUACAGGAUAGGUAGGAGGCAAAGAGAUGGAUACGCCAGUAUUCAAGGAGCCGCUGUUGGGAUACUACCCCUGUUGUAUUGGAUUUCUAACCGGACGACGUAGAGCCGUUGACGGGACAGUGUCAGUCGGGCAGUUUGACUGGGGCGGUCGCCUCCCAAAGAGUAACGGAGGCGCCCAAAGAUACCCUCAGCUUGGAUGGAAACCAAGCGCAGAGUGCAAAGGCAAAAGGGUGUUUGACUGCGAGACCCACAAGUCGAGCAGGGACGAAAGUCGGGCUUAGUGAUCCGGCGGUGCUGAAUGGAAAGGCCGUCGCUCAACGGAUAAAAGCUACCCUGGGGAUAACAGGCUGAUCUCCCCCAAGAGUUCACAUCGACGGGGAGGUUUGGCACCUCGAUGUCGGCUCAUCGCAUCCUGGAGCUGAAGUCGGUUCCAAGGGUUGGGCUGUUCGCCCAUUAAAGCGGUACGCGAGCUGGGUUCAGAACGUCGUGAGACAGUUCGGUCCCUAUCUGUCGUGGGCGCAGGAAAUUUGAGAAGAGCUGUCCUCAGUACGAGAGGACCGGGAUGGACGCAUCAAUGGUGGACCAGUUGUCACGCCAGUGGCAUAGCUGGGUAGCUAAAUGCGGAAGGGAUAAACGCUGAAGGCAUCUAAGUGUGAAACCCACUUCAAGAUGAGAUUUCCCAUUGCGCAAGCAAGUAAGACCCCUUAAAGACGAUAAGGUAGAUAGGUCAGGAGUGUAAGCAUGGUGACAUGUUAAGCGGACUGAUACUAAUAGGUCGAGGGCUUGACCGAAA
rnacentral:rRNA from 1 species